UCUAAUGAUGACAUAUCCAUGUUUUUUGAUAUGUAGCUAGCUUCAAGUCCAUGUUUUUAUGGAGAACCUACUUGGAGUUGCUACAUUCUUGUUUGAAAUGCUGGAGU